UACGUAGGGGGCUAGCGUUGUCCGGAAUCAUUGGGCGUAAAGAGCGUGUAGGCGGUCCGGUAAGUCCGCUGUGAAAGUCGGGGGCUCAACCCUCGAAUGCCGGUGGAUACUGUCGGGCUAGAGUACGGAAGAGGCGAGUGGAAUUCCUGGUGUAGCGGUGAGAUGCGCAGAUAUCAGGAGGAACACCUAUUGCGAAGGCAGCUCGCUGGGACGUAACUGACGCUGAGACGCGAAAGCGUGGGGAGCAAACAGG
rnacentral:rRNA from 1 species